rnacentral:rRNA from 1 species
AUUGAACGCUGGCGGCAUGCCUUACACAUGCAAGUCGAACGGCAGCAUGAUCUAGCUUGCUAGAUUGAUGGCGAGUGGCGAACGGGUGAGUAAUACAUCGGAACGUGCCCUGUAGUGGGGGAUAACUAGUCGAAAGAUUAGCUAAUACCGCAUACGACCUGAGGGUGAAAGUGGGGGACCGCAAGGCCUCAUGCUAUAGGAGCGGCCGAUGUCUGAUUAGCUAGUUGGUGAGGUAAAGGCUCACCAAGGCGACGAUCAGUAGCUGGUCUGAGAGGACGAUCAGCCACACUGGGACUGAGACACGGCCCAGACUCCUACGGGAGGCAGCAGUGGGGAAGUUUGGACAAUGGGCGAAAGCCUAAUCCAGCAAUGCCGCGUGUGUGAAGAAGGCCUUCGGGUUGUAAAGCACUUUUGUCCGGAAAGAAAUGGAUCUGGUUAAUACCUGGGGUCGAUGACGGUACCGGAAGAAUAAGGACCGGCUAACUACGUG